rnacentral:rRNA from 1 species
AGAGUUUGAUCCUGGCUCAGGACGAACGCUGGCGGCGUGCCUAACACAUGCAAGUCGAGCGGAGAUUGCAGUAAUGUAAUCUUAGCGGCGGACGGGUGAGUAACGCGUGGGCAACCUGCCUCACACUGGGGGAUAACACAGGGAAACUUGUGCUAAUACCGCAUAACAUCAUGAAAGGACAUCCUUUUAUGAUCAAAGGAGUAAUCCGGUGAGAGAUGGGCCCGCGUCCAAUUAGCUAGUUGGUGGUGUAACGGACCACCAAGGCGACGAUUGGUAGCCGAACUGAGAGGUUGAUCGGCCACAUUGGGACUGAGAUACGGCCCAGACUCCUACGGGAGGCAGCAGUGGGGAAUAUUGCGCAAUGGGGGAAACCCUGACGCAGCAACGCCGCGUGAAGGAUGAAGGUUUUCGGAUCGUAAACUUCUUUGAUGAGGGACGAAUAAUGACGGUACCCCAAAAACAAGCCACGGCUAACUACGUGCCAGCAGCCGCGGUAAUACGUAGGUGGCGAGCGUUGUCCGGAAUUACUGGGUGUAAAGGGCGUGUAGGCGGGAAGACAAGUCAGAUGUGAAAUACCGUGGCUUAACGGGGCUGCAUCUGAAACUGUGUUUCUUGAGUGUCGGAGAGGAAAGUGGAAUUCCCAGUGUAGCGGUGAAAUGCGUAGAUAUUGGGAGGAACACCAGUGGCGAAGGCGACUUUCUGGACGAUAACUGACGCUGAGGCGCGAAAGCGUGGGGAGCAAACAGGAUUAGAUACCCUGGUAGUCCACGCCGUAAACGAUGGAUACUAGGUGUGGGAGGUAUCGACCCCUUCCGUGCCGGAGUUAACACAAUAAGUAUCCCACCUGGGGAGUACGGCCGCAAGGUUGAAACUCAAAGGAAUUGACGGGGGCCCGCACAAGCAGUGGAGUAUGUGGUUUAAUUCGAAGCAACGCGAAGAACCUUACCAGGGCUUGACAUGCAGAUGAAUAAGCAAGAGAUUGCUUAGUCCUUCGGGACAUCUGUGCAGGUGGUGCAUGGUUGUCGUCAGCUCGUGUCGUGAGAUGUUGGGUUAAGUCCCGCAACGAGCGCAACCCUUGUUGUUAGUUGCCAUCAUUUAGUUGGGCACUCUAACGAGACUGCCGGUGAUAAAUCGGAGGAAGGUGGGGACGACGUCAAAUCAUCAUGCCCCUUAUGCUCUGGGCUACACACGUACUACAAUGGCUGUUACAGAGGGAAGCGAAGUCGCAAGGCGGAGCAAAUCCCCAAAAACAGUCUCAGUUCAGAUUGUGGGCUGAAACCCGCCCACAUGAAGUCGGAAUUGCUAGUAAUUGCAGGUCAGCAUACUGCAGUGAAUACGUUCCCGGGCCUUGUACACACCGCCCGUCACACCAUGAGAGUCUGCAACACCCGAAGUCAGUAGCCUAACCGCAAGGAGGGCGCUGCCUAAGGUGGGGCCGAUGAUUGGGGUGAAGUCGUAACAAGGUAACC